AGCUUUGCACAGUGGCAGUAUCGUAGCCAACGAGGUUAAUCUGAGGUGCAAUUAUUGCUAAUUGAAAGAGAGAAGGUGCUCCAGGCACUGGAGCAGAAAUUCUCCUGCAGCCCAUGUGCAGACCAUGAUUGGGCAGCUGUGCCCCUGCAAUCCAUGGAGGUCCACGGUGGA